UUGAACAACAAGGGUUUGAACCGUGUGGGUUCACCUAUACACAGAUUCUUUUCAAUAAAUAUACAAAAAUAUACAUGGAGAACGAAGUGUGCAAGACUUGUAUUGAAGUGGAUAGCCUAUCCUUACAUAGGCAUAUGGGCUCUGUUUAAAAUUUUUCAGUGUGGCCUAACGUAUCAUCAGUUUGCAAAACCCCAGGAAAUGUGCUUGGCUACGAGACGCUGUUUCUUAGACCCUUCUGCAACUAGAUGUGGCCAGUGGGAUAUAAUUUAAGUGGUCUCUGAAGCUUCUCAGAAGGCUUCUGUUGGAGCAAGAAAGAAAAGAAACAUGGAGAGAGGAUUGAGGAAACAGGAUGCAAAAAACAAACCAAAACAAUGUUAAGAUUCUAGGGGUGGUGUUUGCCCUGACGUCUUUCAAAGGACAAAAUUGUGUGCUUUUGGAGAAUGCAAAGCUUUAAAUGAAUGCGCGUAUGACUUUAUGAAGAACUGGCUGUUCAAAGGAAACAGUAAGAAUAGCAUCAGAGCAAAGUAUAACCAAAAGAAGACUCCUCUUUCACAUCUCAACACUAAUCCUUCAGUCAAGGAGAUUUACCUGUACUAGGCACGUGGAAUACUUCCUGCUGUUGUGCUAGCGGCCAAGCACAGAGUGCGGCUCCAUCGCCCAGUAUCCUGGUUGGAGAGCCCCAUCUCUGCACCUUCCCACGGGCAUAAAAUUCUGAUCGUUCCUGUUGCUCUUCCUGAGUAUCCUUAUCCAGACCUUUGGCUUCAGGGUUGCCCGUGGAGCUGAAGGGGAACACUGAGCUGGCAAAGAAAACUGUCUCAACUUCUCCCGGCAGCUGAAAUAUUCCACUGACAUUAUUACAGAAAUCUGAAGUUCUGAGUUGUUCAAAAUGUGGAAAACAAUGUGGCUCAUAGAACCAGGAAAAUACGGUGAUUCCAGAACUCUAGAAAACUGUUUUGUUUCUUGGAAAUUGUGCCAGGCAUCAAAGACCUUUUAAAGCAUAGCCCCAGCCCUCAGGAAGUUUCUAUAAGAUGAAGUAAUGAUUAAUACAGAAGAAACCACAGGGGAGAGAAGCAAAGACCACUGCUGAUCACAUGUAAA